rnacentral:rRNA from 1 species
GGGGAAAUGGGUAGAGAUCUGAAGGAAAUAACCGGGGGGCGAAGGGGGCCCCCCUGGACAGAUACUGACACUCAGAUGCGAAAGCGUGGGGAGCAAACAGGAUUAGAUACCCUGGUAGUCCACGCCGUAAACGAUGCCUACUUGGAGGUUGUGGCCUUGAGCCGUGGCUUUCGGAGCUAACGCGUUAAGUAGACCGCCUGGGGAGUACGGUCGCAAGAUUAAAACUCAAAUGAAUUGACGGGGGCCCGCACAAGCGGUGGAGCAUGUGGUUUAAUUCGAUGCAACGCGAAGAACCUUACCUACUCUUGACAUCUACAGAAGCCAGCGGAGACGCAGGUGUGCCUUCGGGAACUGUAAGACAGGUGCUGCAUGGCUGUCGUCAGCUCGUGUUGUGAAAUGUUGGGUUAAGUCCCGCAACGAGCGCAACCCUUAUCCUUGUUUGCCAGCACUUCGGGUGGGAACUCCAGGGAGACUGCCGGUGAUAAACCGGAGGAAGGUGGGGACGACGUCAAGUCAUCAUGGCCCUUACGAGUAGGGCUACACACGUGCUACAAUGGCGCAUACAGAGGGCGGCCAACUUGCGAAAGUGAGCGAAUCCCAAAAAGUGCGUCGUAGUCCGGAUUGGAGUCUGCAACUCGACUCCAUGAAGUCGGAAUCGCUAGUAAUCGUGGAUCAGAAUGCCACGGUGAAUACGUUCCCGGGCCUUGUACACACCGCCCGUCACACCAUGGGAGUGGGCUGCAAAAGAAGUGGGUAGUUUAACCUUCGGGAGGACGCUCACCACUUUGUGGUUCAUGACUGGGGUGAAGUCGUAACAAGGUAACCG